GCUCGAAUGGCCAAGUGGUAAGGCGUCGCACUCGUAUCUUGUACGGUAUGCGAAGAUCUCCAGUUCGAUCCUGGAUUUGAGCUC
rnacentral:tRNA from 1 species